rnacentral:tRNA from 1 species
GCCCGGGUGGCGGAAUCGGUAGACGCGCGGCACUCAAAAUGCCGUGUCCUUUGGGCGUGAGAGUUCGAGUCUCUCCCCGGGCA